rnacentral:rRNA from 1 species
AGUGAACGCUGGCGGUAGGCCUAACACAUGCAAGUCGAACGGCAGCACAGUAAGAGCUUGCUCUUACGGGUGGCGAGUGGCGGACGGGUGAGGAAUACAUCGGAAUCUACUUUUUCGUGGGGGAUAACGUAGGGAAACUUACGCUAAUACCGCAUACGACCUACGGGUGAAAUCAGGGGAUCUUCGGACCUUGCGCGAUUGAAUUAGCCGAUGUCGGAUUAGCUAGUUGGCGGGGUAAAGGCCCACCAAGGCGACGAUCCGUAGCUGGUCUGAGAGGAUGAUCAGCCACACUGGAACUGAGACACGGUCCAGACUCCUACGGGAGGCAGCAGUGGGGAAUAUUGGACAAUGGGCGCAAGCCUGAUCCAGCCAUACCGCGUGGGUGAAGAAGGCCUUCGGGUUGUAAAGCCCUUUUGUUGGGAAAGAAAAGCAGCAGGUGAAUACCCCGCUGUUCUGACGGUACCCAAAGAAUAAGCACCGGCUAACUUCGUG